AUUGAACGCUGGCGGCAUGCUUUACACAUGCAAGUCGAACGGUAACAGGUUAAGCUGACGAGUGGCGAACGGGUGAGUAAUGCAUCGGAACGUGCCCGGCCGUGGGGGAUAACACUUCGAAAGAAGUGCUAAUACCGCAUACGAUCUGAGGAUGAAAGCGGGGGACCGUAAGGCCUCGCGCGAUCGGAGCGGCCGGUGUCAGAUUAGGUAGUUGGUGGGGUAAAGGCCUACCAAGCCGACGAUCUGUAGCUGGUCUGAGAGGACGACCAGCCACACUGGGACUGAGACACGGCCCAGACUCCUACGGGAGGCAGCAGUGGGGAAUUUUGGACAAUGGGCGCAAGCCUGAUCCAGCAAUGCCGCGUGCAGGAAGAAGGCCUUCGGGUUGUAAACUGCUUUUGUACGGAGCGAAAAGGCUCUCUCUAAUACAGGGGGCUGAUGACGGUACCGUAAGAAUAAGCACCGGCUAACUACGUGCCAGCCGCCGCAGUAAUAC
rnacentral:rRNA from 1 species